UUUAUACGUUGGGUAUUAGUAGGAUGGAAGUGAUGAAGGGAGAGAGGCCAAUUAGGCCAUGAUUGCUCUGAGGAUGGGAAGUACGUGAAUGUGGAAUCUUGGGGCAAUAGAACGGACAGAACGUAGUGUAGCAAAGCUUCUCUCCAUAACGUUCCUCUGGCCAAGUGAGAAACAUGAAGAUUAGAAGUGCAGCACAUGCCUUCUGAAGAAGCCAGGCAUGGAACAGUUCUGGGAACACAGCACUGAUAAAACUCUUAGGGAUGAAUUUACCUAUACCUGUGUUUCAGCCUUGUGAUCUGGGUUUGGCACGAUGAAAUGCUACUUUCAGAAAGAUGAGUAUGUCAGAAUCCCUGGUGAUUUCUAACGCUUAUGGAACACAUCACAUAGGAGCAAUUUAGAUGACAAAAAAGAGCACUCUUCAGUCUGGAUUUACACUGUGUUCCUAUUCACCGACACAUCAGCAAACAUUAUAAA
rnacentral:lncRNA from 1 species